rnacentral:rRNA from 1 species
AACGCGAAGAACCUUACCUACUCUUGACAUCCAGUGAACUUUCCAGAGAUGGAUUGGUGCCUUCGGGAACACUGAGACAGGUGCUGCAUGGCUGUCGUCAGCUCGUGUUGUGAAAUGUUGGGUUAAGUCCCGUAACGAGCGCAACCCUUGUCCUUAGUUGCCAUCAUUUAGUUGGGGACUCUAAGGAGACUGCCGGUGACAAACCGGAGGAAGGCGGGGACGACGUCAAGUCAUCAUGGCCCUUACGAGUAGGGCUACACACGUGCUACAAUGGCAAGUACAGAGGGCCGCGAAGCCGCGAGGUGGAGCUAAUCUCACAAAGCUUGUCGUAGUCCGGAUUGGAGUCUGCAACUCGACUCCAUGAAGUCGGAAUCGCUAGUAAUCGCAAAUCAGAAUGUUGCGGUGAAUACGUUCCCGGGGUCUGUACACACCG